rnacentral:rRNA from 1 species
GUACUGAUCUGUGCCGAUUGAUAUUGACUGAGCCGGUGAAAAUUCCCACGUAGUAACAAGUACGCAAGAAGACCCUAGAAAUUUUUUAUAAAGUAUAAUAUUAAUACUAUUAUUUUGUUGGGGCGACAGAAUAACAAUUAAACUUAUUUUAUUAUAAUAAGAAUUUUUUAUAAUGAAAAACAAAAUUACUCUAGGGAUAACAGCAUAAUUAUAUAAUAGUUUGUGACCUCGAUGUUGGACUAAGGAAGAUUUUACUCAGAAGGUAAAAUAGUGUGUUCUGUUCGAACAAAUAACCCUUACAUGAUCUGAGUUAG